AGAGUUUGAUCCUGGCUCAGGACGAACGCUGGCGGCGUGCUUAACACAUGCAAGUCGCGCGAUUCUCGAAGUUCGGGGUUGGGAGUUCGAACCUCGAACUUCGAACCUCGAACUUCGAGAAUAGCGGCGGACGGGUGAGUAACACGUGGAUAACCUACCCAUUAGACCAGGAUAACACCGGGAAACUGGUGCUAAUACCGGAUAAGCUCUUUAGAGUAAAAGCCUUAAAGAGGAAAGGGGAUACUCACUAAUGGAUGGGUCCGCGUCCUAUUAGCUAGUUGGUAGGGUAACGGCCUACCAAGGCGACGAUGGGUAGCCGGCCUGAGAGGGUGACCGGCCACACUGGGACUGAGACACGGCCCAGACUCCUACGGGAGGCAGCAGUGGGGAAUAUUCCGCAAUGGGGGAAACCCUAACGGAGCAAUGCCGCGUGAGUGAAGAAGGCCUUUGGGUCGUAAAACUCUGUCUUGAGGGACGAAAAAAAUGACGGUACCUCAAAAGAAAGCCCCGGCUAACUACGUGCCAGCAGCCGCGGUAAAACGUAGGGGGCGAGCGUUGUCCGGAAUUACUGGGCGUAAAGGGCGUGUAGGCGGCCUGUGUAGUCAAGUGGUGAAAACCCGGGGCUUAACUUCGGGAUGGCCCUUGAAACCAACAGGCUUGAGGACAGGAGAGGGGAGUGGAAUUUCCGGUGUAGCGGUGAA
rnacentral:rRNA from 1 species